UUUGCCACUACCGGCUCGUACUCACUGUGAAUGUAGCAUCUCUUAACAGGCUGGUCACUAGGUGGCAAUAUGCAUAACCCCCACCAAAACGUGCAGCUUGGUUUGCCAGAGAAGAAGAGUUUCAAGAUGAGCCAGGCCACCUGUGUGACUCAUGAGGGUCAUGAGCUGACAAAGUUCAGAAAAUUGAAAAGUACUGCGAGCAAAUCACAAAAAAGCCUUAUCCUGAGGACACACACCAACAUGCUGUAGAUUGUACUACUUCAGAAGUAACAGGGAGACGAAAAAACAAAGAAAAAGAAUGAAUAUUCUUUUCAUGCUUAGGUGCCAAUUGGUUUCUGCUUAUGGAGAUUAGCCACCAAGUUCCUAAAGAUACAUCACGGGAAUGUGUGGUUUAAAAAGACGCUACGCUGGUUUUCCUUAAAGGUCCUGAAACAGCACUAUGUUCUCAUAGACUGCUCCACCCAAGGCUCCAGGUUGACCAUACCACUUUUUUUUUUUUUUUUUACUGACGGUUUAUAGCCUAGAUGAUGUGGUGUCGAGUCAGUGGAAAAUAAAAAAUCUCUCGAGAA